UCUUUUAACUGCUCCUGUAAAAUAGUUUUUGUACUGUAAUUAAUUAAACUGCAUUAAGGUUCAAAUUUGUCUUGCAGGGUGAAUAACAGUCAGUCAUCUGUCAGACAGAAUUCAAUACUCUUUCUCCAGGCCAACUAAUUGUCUCCAGUGCAAAUGAUCCUUUGUCAUCCCACUCCCUGAGGACACUCCAGAGUAGUAAUUGUCAUUGUGGACUCCAGCAGGUCUACAUGUUCUGUUAAGAGACUGGAUUCUGAGAGCGAGAUCCUGUGGUGUUCAUCAAAGCUGAAGAGAAGAACUGCAUCUGUGUAAGUUUGAAAUGUGAAAGAAUGUGUGUCUCUGUCUGUCUGGAUCGCUCUGACUGUGAUUU